AACGAACGCUGGCGGCAGGCUUAACACAUGCAAGUCGAACGCCCCGCAAGGGGAGUGGCAGACGGGUGAGUAACGCGUGGGAAUCUACCCAGUUCUACGGAACAACAGAGGGAAACUUCUGCUAAUACCGUAUACGCCCCAAGGGGGAAAGAUUUAUCGGAAUUGGAUGAGCCCGCGUAGAUUAGCUAGUUGGUGAGGUAAUGGCUCACCAAGGCGACGAUCUUUAGCUGGUCUGAGAGGAUGAUCAGCCACACUGGGACUGAGACACGGCCCAGCCUCCUACGGGAGGCAGCAGUGGGGAAUAUUGGACAAUGGGCGCAAGCCUGAUCCAGCCAUGCCGCGUGAGUGAUGAAGGCCUUAGGGUUGUAAAGCUCUUUCAGUAGGGAAGAUAAUGACGGUACCUACAGAAGAAGCCCCGGCUAACUUCGUGCCAGCCGCCGCAGUAAAAC
rnacentral:rRNA from 1 species